rnacentral:sRNA from 1 species
UUGACAUUAAGGUUCAUGUGGCUUAGUUUCAGAAGUGAGGGUAAGGGAGGGUUUCCCCUCCCCCUGGUGUCUUAGUAAGCCGGUAAGCUAAUGACUAAGAGUAUCACCAGUAUGAUGACUACCUUCAUCAUAACCCUUUCCUUAUU